AGGUAACUUGUUUUAUAAUUGUCAACAGUCAGCUAAUCUCGUGGUGCAUAACCUAUUCAACUUGUAAAGAAAAUGAAUGUUGCAGAGGAUUUCAAUGCAAACCUAUGGGCGAUAAAGAUUCCCCUUGCUCACCAAUAAACUCCACGUAUGGCUUUUAUUUCACAAACUGUCCUUGUUCCAGUGGUUUGUCAUGUAGAGUUUCGUUGAGAGGUUUUCGAUGUGCAUAAAGAAAAGCAACUUUUAUUUAAUCGACUGCUGUGAUCAACGUAAAUAUUUAUAACCUAAAUU